CAGGUGUACAACAGCUUCAUUUGGCCAAUCACAGCCAAGAAAUCGUAAUUUUAGGGGUCACAUUUCAAUGGUUUUCUGACAGGAGCCUAAGGAACUGUGGAAAUGUGAACAUGGGCCACACUUUGGACAUGCCUGAUGAACACCUCUCUGUGUGCCUCAGUGAGCAGUCGGAGGGGAGAAUACGCAGGUGACCCCGCCACCAGCCAGAGUGUCAGCAUGAUUGGCACAGUAAAAUAUCACA
rnacentral:lncRNA from 1 species